CUCCGGGACUCGCCACCGUGUUCGUUGUCAAGAGAAACGUUGGCAGCCCCAGAUCU
rnacentral:pre_miRNA from 1 species